ACCAGACUCCUACGGGAGGCAGCAGUGGGGGAUAUUGCACAAUGGGGGGAACCCUGAUGCAGCGACGCCGCGUGGGUGAAGAAGCGCCUCGGCGCGUAAAGCCCUGUCAGCAGGGAAGAAAAUGACGGUACCUGACUAAGAAGCCCCGGCUAACUACGUGCCAGCAGCCGCGGUAAUACGUAGGGGGCAAGCGUUAUCCGGAUUUACUGGGUGUAAAGGGAGCGUAGACGGCAUGGCAAGUCUGAUGUGAAAACCCGGGGCUCAACCCCGGGACUGCAUUGGAAACUGUCAGGCUAGAGUGUCGGAGAGGCAAGUGGAAUUCCUAGUGUAGCGGUGAAAUGCGUAGAUAUUAGGAGGAACACCAGUGGCGAAGGCGGCCUGCUGGACGGUAACUGACGCUGAGGCUCGAAAGCGUGGGGAGCAAACAGGAUUAGAUACCCGUGUAU
rnacentral:rRNA from 1 species